rnacentral:rRNA from 1 species
ACGCUGGCGGCGUGCCUAAUACAUGCAAGUCGAACGCACAGCGAAAGGUGCUUGCACCUUUCAAGUGAGUGGCGAACGGGUGAGUAACACGUGGACAACCUGCCUCAAGGCUGGGGAUAACAUUUGGAAACAGAUGCUAAUACCGAAUAAAACUUAGUGUCGCAUGACACAAAGUUAAAAGGCGCUUCGGCGUCACCUAGAGAUGGAUCCGCGGUGCAUUAGUUAGUUGGUGGGGUAAAGGCCUACCAAGACAAUGAUGCAUAGCCGAGUUGAGAGACUGAUCGGCCACAUUGGGACUGAGACACGGCCCAAACUCCUACGGGAGGCUGCAGUAGGGAAUCUUCCACAAUGGGCGAAAGCCUGAUGGAGCAACGCCGCGUGUGUGAUGAAGGCUUUCGGGUCGUAAAGCACUGUUGUAUGGGAAGAACAGCUAGAAUAGGAAAUGAUUUUAGUUUGACGGUACCAUACCAGAAAGGGACGGCUAAAUACGUGCCAGCAGCCGCGGUAAUACGUAUGUCCCGAGCGUUAUCCGGAUUUGUUGGGCGUAAAGCGAGCGCAGACGGUUUAUUAAGUCUGAUGUGAAAGCCCGGAGCUCAACUCCGGAAUGGCAUUGGAAACUGGUUAACUUGAGUGCAGUAGAGGUAAGUGGAACUCCAUGUGUAGCGGUGGAAUGCGUAGAUAUGUGGAAGAACACCAGUGGCGAAGGCGGCUUACUGGACUGCAACUGACGUUGAGGCUCGAAAGUGUGGGGUAGCAAAC